AGCUAUUGAAUUCCUGUGGAAUCUUCUGAACAGUUUCAGCUGUGAAGGCAAAGAAAUCAACAAACAAAAUCCUCAAGGCUAUUCUUGUGAAGCUGCCAAGCAUGUUUGACCUAAGAAGAAAUAAGACGGACUUCCAUUACCCUGAUAUCUUACAUCAUAUCACAUGAAAGAACUUCCACUAAUAAAAUCUUAAGAAGGUGAUCCAUUCAGAAUGACUUCAACAUCACAGCAGCGCGAAGAUAUAUUAGCAUGGAUGACAAUUUGAACUCAUAUGACUCUGAAGAGAAGUCCAUUUUAAAAUGUCAAAACAAUUCAUUUCAAAUAAGGAAAAUGGAAUAGAUCAAAUCCAAAACC